rnacentral:rRNA from 1 species
CCCUUAGACGUUCUGGGCCGCACGCGCGCUACACUGACCAGUGCAACAGGCAUCCGUCCUUGGCCGACAGGCUCGGGCAAUCUUUGAACGCUGGUCGUGAUGGGGAUAGACUUUUGCAAUUUUUGGUCUUCAACGAGGAAUUCCUAGUAAACGCAAGUCAUCAACUUGCAUUGAUUACGUCCCUGCCCUUUGUACACACCGCCCGUCGCACCUACCGAUUGAAUGGUCCGGUGAAGCCUCCGGAUUGGCGCGCACCUCGGUGCCGCCGAGAAGUUGGCUAAACCUUACCAUUUAGAGGAAGGUGAAGUCGUAACA